rnacentral:rRNA from 1 species
AUGUGAUCGUCUCUCGCAUAUCAAUAAGCGGAGGAAAAGAAACUAACAAGGAUUCCCCUAGUAACGGCGAGUGAAGCGGGAAGAGCUCAAAUUUGAAAUCUUAAAGGGUUUCCCUUUACGAAUUGUAGUUUAAAGAAGUGUUUUCUGUUGAGGUUUUGGUAAAAGUUCUUUGGAAUAGGACAUCAUAGAGGGUGAGAAUCCCGUAUUUGACCUUUACUUUCAACUUUGUGAUACACUUUCAAAGAGUCGGAUUGUUUGGGAAUGCAGUCCAAAAUGGGUGGUAAAUUUCAUCUAAAGCUAAAUAUUGGCGAGAGACCGAUAGCGAACAAGUACCGUGAGGGAAAGAUGAAAAGAACUUUGAAAAGAGAGUUAAACAGUACGUGAAAUUGUCAAAAGGGAAGCGUUUGACACCAGUGUUGUUUUUCUGAAAAUCAAUUAAAGAACUGUUUAUGCUAAGUUGUUUAGACUUUAUCAGCUAUCUGUUUAGUUUUGAGCUUUUCCUUAAUGCACUUCUCAGUUAACAAGUCAACAUCAAUUUCUUUUGCUGUAAAAAAGCUUGAGGAAGGUGGCUUGAGAUUCGUCUUAAGUGUUUAUAGCCUCUUGCCUAUGCAGUCGGAGAGAUUGAGGUCUGCAGCGUAGAUCCUUCGGGGCUAAAUGCAUUUGUGCUAAGUUAUAGCAUUUUAUAGACAACUUGUUGACUAUGAUUUGUCUUGUAGCUUACUCGCUUAUGUUAUUUUACCUACGCUUAGGAUGUUGAUCUACAGAGCGAGAGU